rnacentral:rRNA from 1 species
CGCAACCCUCGCCUCAGUUGCCAGCAUCGGUUGGGCACUCUAGAGGGACUGCCGGCGACAAGUCGGAGGAAGUGGGGAUGACGUCAAAUCAUCAUGCCCCUUAUGACCUGGGCUACACACGUGCUACAAUGGGCGGUACAAAGGGCUGCGAACCCGCGAGGGGGAGCGAAUCCCAAAAAAGCCGCUCUCAGUUCGGAUUGCAGGCUGCAACUCGCCUGCAUGAAGCCGGAAUCGCUAGUAAUCGCGGAUCAGCAUGCCGCGGUGAAUACGUUCCCGGGCCUU